UACGGAGGAUGCAAGCGUUAUCCGGAUUUAUUGGGUUUAAAGGGUGCGUAGGCGGAAUGGUAAGUCAGUGGUGAAAUCCUACGGCUUAACUGUAGAACUGCCAUUGAUACUGCCGAUCUUGAGUACACUUGAAGUGGGCGGAAUGUGUCAUGUAGCGGUGAAAUGCUUAGAGAUGACACAGAACACCGAUAGCGAAGGCAGCUCACUAAAUUGUAACUGACGCUGAGGCACGAAAGCGUGGGGAUCAAACAGG
rnacentral:rRNA from 1 species